CCUUCGAUAGCUCAGUUGGUAGAGGGGAGGACUGUAGAUCCUUAGGUCGCUGGUUCAACUCUGGCUCGAAGGA
rnacentral:tRNA from 1 species